rnacentral:rRNA from 1 species
UGCCUUGCUAGAGUAUGAGAGAGAGAAGUAGAAAUUUCCGGUGUAGCGGUGAAAUGCGUAGAUAUCGAGAAGAGAACAUCAGUGGCGAAGACGACUUCCUGAGACCAAUACUGACGCUCAGGUGCGAAAAGCGUGAGGAGCAAACAGGAUUAGAUACCCUGAGUAGUCCACGCCCUAAACGAUGACAACUAGAUGUCGAGAGAGUUUGCCUUCCGGUGUCGUAGCUAACGCGUUAAGUUGUCCGCCUGAGAAGUACGGCCGCAAGGUUGAAACUCAAAGGAAUUGACGGAGACCCGCACAAGCGGUGGAGCAUGUGGUUUAAUUCGAUGCAACGCGAAGAACCUUACCUGGUCUUGACAUCCUAGGAAUCCUGCAGAGAUGCGGGAGUGCCUUCGGGAACCUGGAGACAGGUGCUGCAUGGCUGUCGUCAGCUCGUGUCGUGAAAUGUUGGGUUAAAUCCCGCAACGAGCGCAACCCUUGCCCUUAGUUGCCAUCAUUAAGUUGGGAACUCUAAGGGGACCGCCGGUGACAAACCGGAAGAAGGUGGGGAUGACGUCAAGUCAUCAUGGCCCUUAUGACCAGGGCUACACACGUGCUACAAUGGUCGGUAUAGAGGGUCGCCAACCCGCGAGGGGGAGCCAAUCCCACAAAACCGAUCGUAGUCCGGAUUGCAGUCUGCAACUCGACUGCAUGAAGUCGGAAUCGCUAGUAAUCGCGAAUCAGCCAUGUCGCGGUGAAUACGUUCCCGGGUCUUGUACACACCGCCCGU